GCAAAUUCCUACAACGUUGAGGGCUUUUCUUCUCCUUAUUUAUAGUAAAACAAAUUUACUUAUCCAUUCAGCUUCAGUAUUCGAAUUUGUUUUUAAAUUUGUACUAUGAGGAGAUUGCAUAAAGAGAUAGAUAAAUAAGUAUGAAUCCCUAUAAUUGCACAUUCAUCUGAUAAUCAUGAUGUAGUGAAUAUUCCAAGUUUGCGGUUUAGAUGUACGGAUACACAAGAUACAGGAUUGCAGAAGUAAUUGAUACACCCAAUUUUGCUAUAAAUUGGAAGAUGACGAUAGACAUGCUCCAAGAGCUGCAUACUUAUGUUUCUCCAUAUUUACAGUUGGUGCAAUGGAUAAACAUAUCUUAAAAAUCCUAAGACCGCAACCAAAAUUGUACAGCACUACUUUCAUUGUGGGGAAAAGGCUAUUUCGAAUUUCAACAGAAAGCGUUUUCAAAAUACAUGCCAACACCUAGGAAUGAUCUAUUUUUGAAAUGAAAGCGAGUAUGUUAUAUGAUAAAUUUGUACACUAUUAGUAUCUGACAAGAACCAUCAUUUGUUCAAAAACCCUUCCACGACACUUGUAAAUCAAUUUCAAUAGCAUGCAAGGCAAAAUAGUACUUAGAAAAAUUU